ensembl:snoRNA Gm26081 small nucleolar RNA SNORA17
UCUGCCCCUUGGGGCAUUGCAGGGGUGGCUGCUGUGUCCCCUGUGCAUCCAUAGGAGACAGAGAAGAGACCGGCUCUUUCUAAGCUCGGUGUUUUGUCCCAUAAACACCUUAAUAAUUAACAGCCCAACAUU